AUGCACGCUGUCUACAGGCCUCACACCUGCCAGUCGAGGGGAAACGACGGGGAAGCUUGCUUCCCCGGGCGUCGACCGGCGCACGGGUGAGUAACGCGUAUCCAACCUGCCUCUGACUGAGGGAUAACCCGUCGAAAGUCGGCCUAAUACCUCAUGGCAUCGUCUGCGGGCAUCCAACGACGAUUAAAGAUUUCAUCGGUCAGGGAUGGGGAUGCGUCUGAUUAGCUUGUUGGCGGGGUAACGGCCCACCAAGGCUACGAUCAGUAGGGGUUCUGAGAGGAAGGUCCCCCACAUUGGAACUGAGACACGGUCCAAACUCCUACGGGAGGCAGCAGUGAGGAAUAUUGGUCAAUGGGCGGGAGCCUGAACCAGCCAAGUAGCGUGCAGGAUGACGGCCCUAUGGGUUGUAAACUGCUUUUAUGCGGGGAUAAAGUGAGGGACGUGUCCUUCAUUGCAGGUACCGCAUGAAUAAGGACCGGCUAAUUCCGUG
rnacentral:rRNA from 1 species